CUCAGGAGGAACUGCCCUGUAUCAUGUGCUGAUGAGCUGCAUCUUUGAGCUUAUUGCACAUUUAUGGAUGUAGUGAGGAAAACACUGAACCAAAAACUGGGUAAUCAGAGUUAAUUUGGGAUUUGAUAAGGGUUAUUUCUUGAGCAGUCGAAGCAAGUAAAGCCUGCACAGCAGCAUCUCUUGUGUCCAUGUUGUGUUUUAAAUUGAAACUCUCCACAUUCGCCCCCUGAUGCUGGGUGUGAGACUGCACACGGUGCGUAUGUCUGACCGUUCACAUGCUGUUGAACAUCUUUUUAGAAUUUAGAU